rnacentral:rRNA from 1 species
CCUACGGGCGGCAGCAGUGGGGAAUAUUGGACAAUGGGGGGAACCCUGAUCCAGCCAUGCCGCGUGUGUGAAGAAGGCCCUCGGGUUGUAAAGCACUUUCAGUGAGGAAGAACGCCUGGUGGUUAAUACCCAUCAGGAAAGACAUCACUCACAGAAGAAGCACCGGCUAACUCCGUGCCAGCAGCCGCGGUAAUACGGAGGGUGCGAGCGUUAAUCGGAAUUACUGGGCGUAAAGCGCGCGUAGGUGGCUUGAUAAGCCGGUUGUGAAAGCCCCGGGCUCAACCUGGGAACGGCAUCCGGAACUGUCAAGCUAGAGUGCAGGAGAGGAAGGUAGAAUUCCCGGUGUAGCGGUGAAAUGCGUAGAGAUCGGGAGGAAUACCAGUGGCGAAGGCGGCCUUCUGGACUGACACUGACACUGAGGUGCGAAAGCGUGGGUAGCAAACAGGAUUAGAUACCCUGUAGUC